AUUGAACGCUGGCGGCAGGCCUAACACAUGCAAGUCGAGCGGAUGAAGGGAGCUUGCUCCUGGAUUCAGCGGCGGACGGGUGAGUAAUGCCUAGGAAUCUGCCUGGUAGUGGGGGAUAACGUCCGGAAACGGGCGCUAAUACCGCAUACGUCCUGAGGGAGAAAGUGGAGGAUCUUCGGACCUCACGCUAUCAGAUGAGCCUAGGUCGGAUUAGCUAGUUGGUGGGGUAAAGGCCUACCAAGGCGACGAUCCGUAACUGGUCUGAGAGGAUGAUCAGUCACACUGGAACUGAGACACGGUCCAGACUCCUACGGGAGGCAGCAGUGGGGAAUAUUGGGCAAUGGGCGAAAGCCUGAUCCAGCCAUGCCGCGUGUGUGAAGAAGGUCUUCGGAUUGUAAAGCACUUUAAGUUGGGAGGAAGGGCAGUAAGUUAAUACCUUGCUGUUUUGACGUUACCAACAGAAUAAGCACCGGCUAACUUCGUG
rnacentral:rRNA from 1 species